rnacentral:rRNA from 1 species
GACGAACGCUGGCGGCGUGCUUAACACAUGCAAGUCGAACGGAAAGGCCCUGCUUUUGUGGGGUGCUCGAGUGGCGAACGGGUGAGUAACACGUGAGUAACCUGCCCUUGACUUUGGGAUAACUUCAGGAAACUGGGGCUAAUACCGGAUAGGAGCUCCUGUUGCAUGGUGGGGGUUGGAAAGUUUCGGCGGUUGGGGAUGGACGCGCGGCUUAUCAGCUUGUUGGUGGGGUAGUGGCUUACCAAGGCUUUGACGGGUAGCCGGCCUGAGAGGGUGACCGGCCACAAUGGGACUGAGAUACGGCCCAGACUCCUACGGGAGGCAGCAGUGGGGAAUAUUGCACAAUGGGCGGAAGCCUGAUGCAGCAACGCCGCGUGCGGGAUGACGGCCUUCGGGUUGUAAACCGCUUUCGCCUGUGACGAAGCGUGAGUGACGGUAAUGGGUAAAGAAGCACCGGCUAACUACGUG